rnacentral:rRNA from 1 species
AUUGAACGCUGGCGGCAGGCUUAACACAUGCAAGUCGAGCGAGCGGCGGACGGGUGAGUAAUGUCUGGGAAACUGCCUGAUGGAGGGGGAUAACUACGGGAAACGGUAGCUAAUACCGCAUACCAUCAGAUGUGCCCAGAUGGGAUUAGCUAGUAGGUGGGGUAAUGGCUCACCUAGGCGACGAUCCCUAGCUGGUCUGAGAGGAUGACCAGCCACCCGUUAACUGAGCCCCGGUCCAUACUCCUGCAGGAGGCAGCAGUGGGGAAUAUUGCACAAGUGGCGCAAGCCUGAUGCAGCCAUGCCGCGUGUGUGAAGAAGGCCUUCGGGUUUUAAAGCACUUUCAGCGAGGAGGCGUUACUCGCAGAGGAAGCACCGGCUAACUCCGUGCCAGCAGCCGCGGUAAUAC